AUGGGCUUCCCCGCCACCUUCCGGACAAAGUGUCAAAUACAAGUUCAAGUUCAGGGCCAGGCCCGAGGGGCGCUGAGCCUUACCCGGCCGCCUUUGUUCUCUGGGAUAAUCGCUCCCACGUCCCCUCCCGGGCGGGGCCCAGAAAAGACCCCCGCCCCGCCCCGCCGCGCCCCGCAGGAGCCUCCUCCUCCCGCCGGCGCGGCGCCUGUCCCCUGGUCCCGGCGUCGCCGCUCGGUACCACCGAAGGAUCUAGGGGCUCGGGCCGGCGUGGAGGGAGGGGGGCUGCGGAGGGGAGUGGAGGCGCGAUACGAGCCCGUGGGAGCCUCCCCAACCCCGCAGUCCCAGCGGCAAACUGUGCUUGGUCGGACGGAUGCCCGCGCGGAGCCGCCAGUCUCUGAGAGGGCGCUGGACCCCAAGACUCUGCAGGACUGGCCUCAGUGCAGAGGCUCUGGAUUCUCUGGCUCUGAGGCGAGAUGGGAGCUGUCCUCCCAGUGGUGCUGAAACUCGGGCUGCCUCCGUUGGGGUCACCGACAGAAGCUCACUUGUUCAGGCACAUCCUGAGUCAGCCUUUCCGCCUCUGAGACGGCCUCCUCCCAUCUCAGGUGAGAGAUUCAGCCUGGAAGGGAAGUAGUCCACGCCAUGAUCAUUCCGCAAAACCUUAAUAGCCACUUAACAGGAUUCACUACUUUUCAUCUUGCUGCCUCAAUCCAUUCUCCACUCAGUACCCAGAGUGGUCUUUUCAAGAGGCAAAUCUGAUCCUAUGUAAAGUACUCAUAUGGUUUUCCAUAUCAUUCAGAUUAAAACUUAAAAGUUCUUGCUAGAGCUAAGAGAUCCCUCCCCCUCAAUGAUCUAGCCCCUGUCUACUUCUUCCACCUUAAUUGCCUAUCAGGAUGGCAGGGAUGGGUUAGAACUGGCUUAAUUCUGAUAUGUUUUGAAGAUAGAACUGCUUAUAUUUGCUGAGACAUUAGAGGGGUGUGCAGGAGAGAAAUAGUGGAGUCAAGGAUGACCCUGGGGGUUUGAGGUUGAGUACCUGGAAGGAUGGAGUUUCUAUUUCCUGAACUGGGAAAGGCUGAAGGAGGAGUAGAGUUUUGGGGAUGGGGAUCUGAAGCUGUUUCUGGACAUGUUAAGUUUGAGAGAUCUACUAGAUAGCCAAAGGGGAUAGCCUAGUAGGCAACUGGACAUAUAAACUUGGCAUUCAGAGGAGAGGUUCUGGCUGGAGAUAUUAAUGUGGGAGAGGUAAGCUUAUGGUCUUAUCUAAAACCAUGCAGCAAGAUGAGAUCACUAGAGAGUAAAAGUACAAAGAAGAAAAGUGUUCCAGGGGCAGAACACUGGAGUACUUUCAUUUUAGAGGAAGAAAUUAAAGAAAAUCAGUAAAGGAGACUGGGAGGGAGGGUCUUUGAAGAAGGAGAGAACAAAAAAAGUGAUGUCCUUGAGGCUGGGGGUUGGGGGCAGUGGAGGUAUCUUAAGAACAAGGGAGAGAUCAAAAGUAUCCAAUAUGCUGACAGGCCAAGAAAGAUGAGGAUUGAUAAUUGACCUUUCGAUAUGGCCUCACAGAGGUCCUUUCUGUUAUUUACAUAUA
ensembl:lncRNA